GGAUUGUGGCUCAGUGGUAGAGUGCUUGCCUCACAUGUGUGACGCCCUGGGUUCAAUUCUCAGCACCA
rnacentral:tRNA from 1 species